ensembl:lncRNA
AGGAGCCUUUAACUGCAGCUUGUUCUGAGGCCUCUGCACCGUUAGCCUGGACCUUCAGAAAGCCAAAUGCAAAGUUCGGAAUAACCCAACCAUUCAAGGAUAUUGAUAUCAGCCUGGAAAACUCCUUUGCUGCCCAGCUACAGGUGUAGGAUUGUUGUUGUGUGGCUGAAUGAUCCUGGUUAUCGCCCUCUCUCUCUCACCAUGGUGCAGCAGUGUGCCAGUUCCAUCUGAAGCCAAAGUCAUAACAGAACAGCCGGCGUGUUUGACAGAUGGGAAGGCUCGAUGGCUUGAAGCUUCCCUGUGAGGAGCUGGCAACCUGUCCAGAAGCACCCUGCCUCUUAGACCGAGCGUCUGCACCUCACGAUGAAUCCUUCAAGUUGUGCUAAUGUCGUCAUGAAAUCUAUUUUUGAGAGCUGACCAGAAAACAUGAACGCCA